rnacentral:lncRNA from 1 species
CCACCCAUGCCAGUGUAUCCACCAGCACUUGCUUCGUAGCCUGGAGACAAAGAUGAUUAUGGGAGGCAUUAUCUUAUUCAAUAUGGAACAGGGUAAGAUUUCUAAAUAUAAUAACAUAAUUUAUUUUUCAUUACUAUAUUAUUAUGCUCUAUGAAAUUACUGUUUGAUUUUUUGUUGUAGGUUUAAGCCAGAUGCUGGAGUUGGAAAAAUUACGAGUAAAUACAUUUGUCGGUACUUCAACGGCUACUGGACCAGUUGGAAAAAGGUUCCUGAAAAUGACAGAGAAAGAAUGUUUAAAGAAUUUCAUGUAAGAAUUUAACUUAUCG